GGGCGGCGUGGAUUAGGCAUGCAAGUCGUGCGAGAAACCAAUUAGCUUGCUAUGAGGUGGACAGCGGCGUAAGGGAGAGUAACGCGUGGUUACGUGCCCUCGAGACCGGGAUAGUGUUGGGAAACUGGCAGUAAUACCGGAUAACAUCUUCGGAUCAAAUGGUGUGAUUCCGCUCGAGGAUCGGACCGCGUACUAUUAGCUUGUUGGCGGGGUAACGGCCCACCAAGGCUGCGAUGGUUACCGGGUGUGAGAGCAUGGCCCGGCUCACUGGGACUGAGACACUGCCCAGACACCUACGGGUGGCUGCAGUCGAGAAUCUUCGGCAAUGGGCGAAAGCCUGACCGAGCGACGCCGCGUGCGGGAUGAAGGCCCUCGGGUUGUAAACCGCUGUCAGUUAGGAGGAAAUGCAUGAGGGUUCUCUCUCAUGUUUGACCGAUUUUCAGAGGAAGGACGGGCUAAGUUCGUGCCAGCAGCCGCGGUAAGACGAACCGUCCAAACGUUAUUCGGUAUCACUGGGCUUAAAGCGUGCGUAGGCGGCUUGGUAGGUGAGAUGUGAAAGCCCACGGCUCAACCGUGGAACAGCGUCUCAAACCCCCAAGCUCGAGGAAGAUAGGGGUGAUCGGAACUUAUGGUGGAGCGGUGAAAUGCGUUGAUAUCAUAGGGAACACCGGUGGCGAAAGCGGAUCACUGGAUCUUUUCUGACGCUGAGGCACGAAAGCUAGGGUAGCGAACGGGAUUAGAUACCCCGGUAGUCCUAGCCGUAAACGAUGAGCACUGGGUUGAGGGAACUAUCACAUUCUCUCGGCCGUAGCGAAAGCGUUAAGUGCUCCGCCUGGGGAGUAUGGUCGCAAGGCAA
rnacentral:rRNA from 1 species